rnacentral:lncRNA from 1 species
UUGGACCCACAUAGCCACAUAAGAAGCGAAGGGGCAACUGAAAGGCAAAGAACUCAGCUGAAACGAUGGCUUGAGAAAGCAGUGCUGCUCUUCAGACAAUGUUUGUUGACUACAGCUUGCUGUGAAAACAGUGGCAGACAGACGGGCUUGCACACUGUACCUGAGGGCGACUGGAUCUUUCAGAGCAAAGCUGAACUGUGCAUAGUCCUCAAAGAGAAAGGAGAUUCUGAGACUGCUGAGUGUAAUCUUUCAUCUGCCAAGAAAAACUUUGCUUCUACACCAAACCAAGACCUUGAAUUUCAAACCCUGAGGAUGACAGUCCCCAGCUGCUCCUGAGACAGGCCUAUUGUCGGUUUCCCAGAAACUUGUCAAGCAUCCCGAGGACGAAAGACCUAUCUAAAAACAACAGGAACUGGGCAUGAGCUGAUUAUAGGAAUCUCAUCUUUGGGAAAUUUCAAUUACUUUGAACUUCCCCACCAGCAUGGCUUUUCCUUUAUUGGAGCAAAACAAGUCAAAAGAUACAAGCAAGGCACAUGUGAUUAAUUCUCAGAAAGCAAAACAGGUUAAUGUGUAAAACAUCCCUGGGAGCAAAAAAAAAAGCUCUUUAUCUUUUAUAGAACAUAAAAACAUUUUCCACUUGGCAAAUUGUGUUCCUUUAAAAAUAGCGCAGAGUCAUGUGGUAUAAAAUGAGAAGAGAGACAGGAAAGUGUUCUAACAUGUUUUCAGAAAGUUAUGAAUUGAAUUUCAUCUGGAUGCCGAACCUGAAGAAAGACACUCUGUGAUUUUUAGAAAGUAUUUUUGACUCAUGAAAAUUCAUUAUAAUUGUUUCUUAACAAUUUUAAAAAAAACGAACAGAACUAUGCCAUACAGAAAUUUAAAUAAAAUUUUGGCAAGAAAUACACU